rnacentral:misc_RNA from 1 species
UUCGUAUCAUUCUCCCCAAGUGCUUCUUCCAGCAUAUCAACCACUUCAGUUCCUCUUUUCCCGAGUUUCAUGAGACAUUUCGCAUUAAUGCGUUCUUCUUAAACAUAUCACCAGACAUUUUCAAGACGCGUGGUGGCUGAAAGAAACAUGGACAAUAUGGGUAUACUAAAAGAAAAUUUCUGUUUAUAGAAAACACUUUAAUCUCCAUUCUUCGCCCGGCCAGAUCGCCGCGUCGUUGCUGAACUAGCAGAAAAAGAAUCAUCUUCCGAACCUUCAGAGCCGAGGAAUAGAUAUCCCCUUUCAACGAGAAACGCCCUUUUUCACGGACUGGAGCGGCAAGAAUAA